rnacentral:lncRNA from 1 species
GACGGACAAGUGGAAAAGGAAAAAUCCAAUUAUGGGUCCAGAACAAAAUGUUGUGACCAUUUCCCACAAAAACAGUGCGCGGGAUUUUUUGCGUUGUUUCAUAUAUGUUUUUCUCCGUAACACAAAAACAGACCGGCAUGUUGUAAGAUAUUCGAGAGCCAAUCUCGAAAUCUCAUUGAUAUCUUAGAGAAUAACAAAUAAAAACAAACAUGGUAACACUAGAAACAACUCAGAAAAGCUUAAGAUUGGACAACUCAAUUUAUUUAGACCGGGUCAUAAUGUUACACACUGAAAUUCACUCGAGCAUCUCGCGCACAUUAGAUGCUCGACAAAAACAUGAAUUGAAAGACGUUAACACAACAGAGUUCAUAAUUACAGCUCAAGAACAAUAUAUUGUAUCCCGGAUUGGGGUUCGAUAAACCCACUCAUUUCUUCCCGCUUUUCUUGAGCCCAGAACCUCCGAAGGACCCUUUCUGUUGUGCCUUGGCUCUAAGCUCCUUCAGUGCCUGUUUAUCACAAGCAUGAUAAGUUAGUAAAUAAUUUAUCACAACACUCGAUAAACGAACCGGAUUAUGUUAAGAAAAACCUACCUUUUCCUCCUCUUUCUUCUUCUGAAGGUUGGCCAAAUCGGACUGCACAAUAGAAGAUAAAGAUUCUUAUUCCAGGACAUAACACGUAAUUUUGAAAGGCACUGAAAAACAAGCUAAUUACUUCAUGAACUUGAACAUGUAUUUGUACAAGGAUAAGGUUCAACGUACAGUUGAAUAUAAUGACACAAACCACCAUGGGCGAAAUCUAAAGUAUAAAGAUUCAAAUAUAAGCGCAGUUGAGAACAAUUUAGCUGGGGCAAGUUUAAAAUAAACACACAGUUUCAGAAGCUCCUUGUUUCUACAUUCAAAACAUGCAAGAUUCAACAGAGUGACAAAGGAGUCAUAAAAUAGCAUAGCCUGUAACUGUAACACAUAAAAUAUGCUCCGGUGAACAGGGCAAAAACAGCGUUUUUCAAAAUUCAAGCUAUAAGCCUAAUACAAUGCGCAUACUAUGAGCUGAACAUUGAGCAUCUUCUAGUCGGAGACACAGAGAAUCCAUCCGUUUAUAUUUGUUUGACACAAAUUUCCAAGGUUACUAUGCCAAAUCUAUCGAAAAAUAGUUAUUUGCAUUAUUGUUUCCACAAUCGAAUCCAACGUUACAAAAAACAAUAGACCAUUCUUUGAAUAACCUCAAUUCCUACGAAAUACAAACUUUAGGGAAGAGUACUAAAUAAAAUCACCCAGCUCCUACCUACUGAUUAAUCAAACAAGAUAACGAUUUCAACUACAUACUAAUCCCUUAAGCAUAAGUUUUACCUAAUAAAUGGGAUUUUAAAAUUUCAACAUACAGUACAAAAAAAAAUCAGAGCUAAAAGGAUCCGAUCCACCCAAAACACAAAUCUGAAAUCAUCAUCCACCUAAAACAUAAACCUAAACAUUCCUCUAAUUAUUUUCCCAUUUCAUAUACCCAGUAAGGUCCUGAAUAAUAAUACCACCAAAGCUACCAACUUCAUCAUUCAAACAUAAUCAAACAAUUAAUCAUACCUCGUCGUACUCCUUCUUGUCGGCCUUGGGUGCCUUCAAGGGCUUUGCUUUUCCACCUGAAAAAUAAAGCACAAUUUCAUACUUCUGUGUUCGAAAAGCUUAACAAAUUUCUAGGGUUUUUUUUCCCCUAAUUUCCGAAUUGACAAAAAAUUGGUCGGAAUUGAAAUUGAAUCUUUAAAAUCUAGGGUUUUUAUCGUAAAGGACAUACCUUGCUUGGAAGACAUGGCUGGGAUCUAGGGCAAAAGGCU